GGAGUUUGGGCCGUGUCUCAGUCCCAAUGUGGCCGGUCACUCUCUCAAGUCGGCUACUGAUCGUCGCCUUGGUGGGCCGUUACCUCACCAACUAGCUAAUCAGACGCGGGUCCAUCUUAUACCGUCGGAGCUUUUCACACUGAAUCAUGCGAUUCCGUGCGCUUAUGCGGUAUUAACAGCAGUUUCCCGCUGUUAUCCCCCUGUAUAAGGUAGGUUACCCACGCGUUACUCACCCGUCCGCCACUCGCAACCGAAGUUGCUCGUUCGACUUGCAUGUGUUAAGCACGCCGCCAGCGUUCAUC
rnacentral:rRNA from 1 species